UACAGAGGGUGCGAGCGUUGUCCGGAAUCACUGGGCGUAAAGGGCGCGUAGGCGGUCUCUUAAGCGUGUGGUGAAAGCCCGGAGCUCAACUCCGGGUCGGCCAUGCGAACUGGGAGACUGGAGCUUGUCAGAGGCAGGCGGAAUUCCGGGUGUAGCGGUGGAAUGCGUAGAGAUCCGGAAGAACACCGGUGGCGAAGGCGGCCUGCUGGGACAGUGCUGACGCUGAGGCGCGACAGCGUGGGGAGCAAACAGG
rnacentral:rRNA from 1 species